CGGGCAGCGCCACACACCUGCCCCGUGUGCCCGAGCGCUGCCCGCCCGCCGGCCCGGCCCGGGGGACGGACACCGCCCGCGCGGAGCUGACGGGACUAGUGCCUCAGCCGAGCUAGUCGCCAGGAUUAGCUGUAAAGACAAAAAAAGGUGAGCAGACUGCAGGGGAGCCUCUGCUGAAGCACCACUACAUUCUGCAACAAGUGACAGCUCAACAUUCCAUAGAUGUUCAUGAAAGGUGAGGCUCCAAUCAAGAGUUACUCCAAGAUAUUUUGGGAACUUCUUAUGUUUAACCGCUUCUCCACAGAAAGUAAUGAUUGCUGCCAUUAAAAAGAAAAUAUCCACAUUGACAGAACCAAGAAGAUCUAACAAACCAGUCUUUGUUCUUGCACAUCUGCUUCACUGUCAUAUGACUCUCUACAUGGAAUCCAUCACGGACUGAGCUUAGAUGCUGGCAAUCCAUCAGCAUUUAAAGACAGAAUAACCAAUCUGAAUGUCGCAUGGGCUGCAGCAGUGUGCUGACAAGGUCAUGGGUUGAGAGCCACAGCUCUAGCAUUUUUUCUUUUGUGCCCACUUUUAGAAUAAAAGUUCUAGUGGUGAUGGUAGGAUUCCAACCCUCCAGCCCCAACCCCUGGUACCUCUUUAGUUCUACUGGCAACAGUAGCAGCAGUGUGGAUGUCUCAUGAUGUUGACUCCUGUACCUUGCCAUUAGGAUUCCAAUUCUCUGGAGUCCAAUCUCCUGUACCUCUGGUUUCAGUAGCAAAGUGGCUGGGGUCUCUGAUUUCUCAGAAACAGCAGCGGGGGCAAAGGCCUAGCAGGGCAGCUCCCCACCCUGGGCAACUGAAAUGCACAGGGAACCUCACCCCUGUCAAAAUAGUCUGACAACUCUACUGAUUAAACAGAGGAGGGCCUACC